GACGAACGCUGGCGGCGUGCUUAACACAUGCAAGUCGAGCGAUGAAGUUCCUUCGGGAAUGGAUUAGCGGCGGACGGGUGAGUAACACGUGGGUAACCUGCCUCAUAGAGGGGAAUAGCCUUCCGAAAGGAAGAUUAAUGCCGCAUAAGAUUGUAGCUUCACAUGAAGCAGCAAUUAAAGGAGUAAUGCGCUAUGAGAUGGACCCCGCGUCGCAUUAGCUAGUUGGUAAGGUAACGGCUUACCAAGGCGACGAUGCGUAGCCGACCUGAGAGGGUGAUCGGCCACAUUGGGACUGAGACACGGCCCAGACACCUACGGGUGGCAG
rnacentral:rRNA from 1 species